rnacentral:lncRNA from 1 species
CACAAAUUUGUUUUAAUUUCAAGUGCUCUUACAAUGACAAAGUCAAAUGAGUGCCUUCUUGAGGAAAGUGUUUAGCAUAAUAGUAGAUGGUGUUGUCAUUAUCAGAAGGGAGAAUUUUCUGUCUCAUUUGUCAACUUCACACUGUGAACCCCCAAAAGAGUUGUCUUCAACACAAAAUAAUUGCCCUUGUUGCUUCUCUUUACAGAGUUCUCCCCACAUUAUUAAUGGUAUGGGAAUUAGGAGGAGGUCAUCUGACUCACAUGGAUCACCAUAUAAUUCCUUCUGGAGAACAGAAAAAAUGCAGAAGAGGAAAACUUCCAUAUGUGAAGCUAUGGCAAGGGAGUCUCCCCACCCCGCGCUCCAACAGAGUCUGGAGAUAAAGUAAGUUUGAGAAGCUAGAAAGUGUUUUUUCCCAUUAUCUUCCAAACACUGUCAUUUGGCUGCAUGCAGAUUUCACUCUGGCUUUGGCAAAUGUGUCCCU